CCUACGGGAGGCAGCAGUGGGGAAUAUUGCACAAUGGGGGAAACCCUGAUGCAGCGACGCCGCGUGAGUGAAGAAGUAAUUCGUUAUGUAAAGCUCUGUCAGCAGGGAAGAAAAUGACGGUACCUGAGUAAGAAGCCACGGCUAACUACGUGCCAGCAGCCGCGGUAAUACGGAGGGGGCAAGCGUUAUCCGGAUUUACUGGGUGUAAAGGGAGCGUAGACGGCAGGGCAAGUCUGGAGUGAAAGGCGGGGGCUCAACCCCCGGACUGCUCUGGAAACUGUACGGCUGGAGUGCAGGAGAGGUAAGUGGAAUUCCUAGUGUAGCGGUGAAAUGCGUAGAUAUUAGGAGGAACACCAGUGGCGAAGGCGGCUUACUGGACUGUAACUGACGUUGAGGCUCGAAAGCGUGGGUAGCAAACAGGAUUAGAUACCCCUGUAGUC
rnacentral:rRNA from 1 species